AAAUGGCGGGAAAAUUGGAUUGGGAUUGAGCCCUAGCAGUAGCAGGGGAAGGCGCAAUCGGAUUCUCCUUCGAGGCGUCGCGCGAAAUCGUCGCUCAGAAGCACAAGGGCCUUCCCGCAUCGAUCGGAGCUCCGGAGCAAAGAUGUGCCAGGCCGAAACCCUAGGGAUCGUCGACGAGAUCGCGGCCCUCGUCUCCGAUAAGCUGCAAGUGGUUUCAUACAAGUGGUUGAGCCGCAAUUUCUUGGUAUCUUCAAAUACUGCAAAGAGGUUACUUCCUCUUUAUCUGGGUGGUUAAAGGACAAUCCGUCAUGUUAGCAUAUCAAACUUGUUUCUGGGCCUAAACCUGCUGAAGCCGGGGAAUAAUUUGAUGGUGAAUGCUCAGUUCAAGUCUAUAGUGUGCAAACUUGCAUUCCGAAGGAUCCAGCUGCACUUUGGAAUGUUGAAUUCGUGCAGGCAGGGAAGCUUUUCGGCCAGGAUGCAACCACCGAGAAUUGUCUGAGAGAUAACAGGUUCUGUGCGGUAGCUAAUCCCUUUGUUAGGCGAAGUGAAGAGAGGGAAUUAUUUGACUUGGGAGCUCCAAAGCUUAAUGGCGCCAGAGUCUCAGGAACAUCAAAUACUGUCCAUCAAAAGGUUAACCCACCACAACCGAGAAAGAUUGAACAGACAAGCCAAAAAAAGUUGGAGCAACCCGUUGAUGUGCCUAAGUAUGCAAAUAGUGAAAUAAAUGGUGCAGGAGUUCAUGAUCAAGCCAGCAAACUGUCUGCAGACAAAGAAAAAGUCACUAACUUCGCUGCGAGUAAAAAGUUGGGUCAGAACGGCAAGAACUCUUCCAUAGCUGGGGGUUCUCUGGCAAAUCUAGUGUUGGCCCAGCAGAAAAUAGCAGCUCUGCUCCAAGUUCUGCUGUUAGUGCAGAAGCUCAAAUCUGUGCACAUGAGGCAGCAGAACUGAACAGCGAUGAUGAGGGUCAGGAUGUCAAUGUUAAGAGACCCUCCAAAACUGAAGGUGGUAGGGAAAGGAGAGUUGUAUUUGAUUUCUUGGAUGAAGAAGAUGAGAAUUAAGAUGCAGUCAAUUCAGCAUCACCUGAUUUUGUAAAAGCCCAUUCUAUCCUUGCUUCAAAAGAGAGUGCCAAAGAGUUAGUUUCUGAGAAGAAGUGCAAGGAAGAUAAAAUGGAAGUUGAUGAAGUAAAAGUGAGAGUGGAGGAACACCACCAGCCACCAGAGGAAGAUGUUUCUGCCAUCAGUAGAGGUGUGAACAUUGGGAUGUUCUCUUUGAAGGGCCAAAAUCAUGGUUCCUCUGAGGAUGUAAAUAAUAAUGUGACAAAUCCUGCAUCAACCUCACCGGAGAGGUGAAAGUCUUGAAGACUAGAACCGAUGAGCAUGGGAGAGAAGUAACCGAAGUGGUCUGGGAGGGUGAGUAAGAAUUGAAGAAAGCAAACUGUACUAUAGUUGGCAAAUCUAAUGAUGACAGGGCUGCUGACACCACGAGCAGAAGCUCAAUAUGGUCAAUGGAGUGCUCUUUACUGGAGGGUGGGCUAAAACCGGAUUUUAUUAUGACACUGUGAAGGCAAUUUUCAAGAAAGUUUUGGUGAAGAAUGAUGCGUGGUUACUUUGGAUAAGAUUUCCGCCAGAUUUGCUUCAGUUGAGUACAGAUUGCCUUGUCAUGCAAAAUCAUCAUGUGAGUUGUAAGACUUUGGUAGCCUGCUGGUUUUAAUUGAGAAUUCUAAGUGGAAUUUGUUUGAUUCCCCCGUUUCCUCUUCCCUUUGUUUUCUCUCAUGUACCUCUUUCUUUUAGUAGAGUGUUGUCAUCGCAGGGACUACAUUCUUAUUUUGAUAUAAGCCAUCUGUUGCACGUGACACGACCAGUGCUGCUAAAGAAUGGUGUCUAGAUCAGUUAGAUCCUGGAGAAGUUAAAAAGAGGAGACAGAGGUCAUGCAACUUUAAUGCAUUGAUUUGGGAAUAUUCAUUUUUGCCAAGAGUUAGUAGAAGAAUUGAUUUGUUUUUUUAUUAGUUUUGAUGGACAAUGGAAUCAUCCGACCCCAGAAGAAUCGAUUUUUUUAUACACCAAAAAAAGGGAAUCAUCAAUAUUUGAACAAAAUAGAAGAUUCCUUCAUUUUGUUA